rnacentral:lncRNA from 1 species
CCCCCCCGGGCCGAGGGAGCCGGAGUCGAAGGGGGGCAGCGGCUCCGCAGCGGCCAGAGCCCGGCCCGUCGGGGCGCCUGUGCGCACCCACCGGCCGUGUGCGGAGUUUUUCGGGGCAUUCGUUUCAAACGAAUUUGGGAACGUCGGUGGCGGGUCCGUAAAGCCCCCCUGCGCCAGUCUCCCUCCCCCCCGAGCAGAAUUAGCACUCGGCCGCUCAACGCCCUGCCGCUGGCCGAUUCCUGCGGGAUUCAACCCGUGCUUGUUUGGAAACGAUUGCGUCCCGCUCUCCGCGCUUCCCGCUCAGCCGCAGCGGAGGAUGGGGCGCAGCUGGGGCCGCAGCGGACGGCCGCGGGGUGGGAGAGAGGAUCUGCUUCAAAAAUGCUCCUCCGAACAGACACGGCGAGGGAAGCACAGAUCCCGUCUCCCACCCCCGGGAAGCACGGAUCCCCUCUCCCAUCCCCGACCUCUGUGCUUACUCCGGGCGACUUUCGGAAGGGAGAAUCCGGCGCCGUCCCGCUCCCCUCGGCGGCCGGGGCCGUAGCAAAAGACAAAAGAGCUGCAGAGAACCACAGCGGCGGAGGCUGAAUGGGAGCAGCUGUUCGCCCUAGCCGGAAAGGAGAUGUCAAAACCUGUUGCGUGGACGGAGCUCUGAGAAAAUCUCUUCUUAGCUCCCUAAAAUGUGAGUACGGACCCUACACGCAAGCCCCUCCGCGGGCGCUUUCACUUCGGGCGGCGGUGGCCGGGCGGCGUGUGUCGCCGCUUCCCAGAGCGACUGCAAAUUAGGGACAGCUGGAUCCCAAUGCUCUGUAACUGCUUUUAACUUUGGGGCAAGAAAAUUCUUCCUAUUAGUGCUAGAAGAGGGAGCAGAUACCGGCUGCUGAGCCCCGGCACGGGGCGAGUCAAGUUGCGAGGGAAUCAAACGAUCAGGCGAGGAGCUUUUCUGGCAUGUGCAAAAGAGCUCGUUCACUGCAGUUAUAUUUCAGAGCAAGAAGCAAUCGCCUGGUAACAUUUGCCCCCCGUCCGACGGGAACAUUUUGAGGGGUGUCUCCGUGCAGCCGCAGCCAAAGGCUUUUCUGGGCUGCCCCAAACUUGCUCCCGGCCCCGCUGUGCCCGGCGCAGGAGCCCCGGGUUCAUCCCGGUGCCGGCCAGGGAAGCGGUGUGACUGACCCCAGGACACCCUCAGCAGAGGUCUGGCCCCUCCGGGAAGUCGUUGCCGAGCACCAGGCAGCGUGCGGGACCGGCAGUGUCAGCGCAAGUGGCUGUGAAAUAGGAGGAAAAUAAAAAAGUCGUUUUUUUUCUCUCGUAACGCUCC